UAAUCCGACCUAGGCUCAUCUGAUAGCGCAAGGCCCGAAGGUCCCCUGCUUUCUCCCGUAGGACGUAUGCGGUAUUAGCGUCCGUUUCCGAACGUUAUCCCCCACUACCAGGCAGAUUCCUAGGCUUUACUCACCCGUCCGCCGCUCUCAAGAGGUGCAAGCUUCUCUCUACCGCUCGACUUGCAUGUGUUAGGCCUGCCGCCAGCGUUCAAUCUGAGCCAGGAUCAAACUCU
rnacentral:rRNA from 1 species